UGCUUAUAGUAGUUUAAUUAUAGGUAAUUUCUGCCCGGUGAUUUUAAACGGCCGCGGUACUCUGACCGUGCAAAGGUAGCAUAAUCAUUUGCCCUUUAAUUGGGGGCUGGAAUGAAGGGAAUAACGGAGCACCAGCUGUCUCGUUUUUUUGUUUGGAAUUUGCUUUUUUCGUGAAGAAGCGAAAGUAAAAAAGAAAGACAAGAAGACCCUAUUAAGCUUUACUUGUUUUUUUAUAUUUUUUAACUUUUAAGUAUGAGUAUAUAGAUAAUGAGUUUGAUUGGGGCGAUGGAUGAAGAUAAAAUCUUUUUCUAAAAUAAAAACAUUGUGUUUUAUAGUGGGCCAAAAGUUUUGAGAAAAAGAAUAAGUUACUAUAGGGAUAACAGCGUAAUUUUUUCUGAGAGUUCUUAUUGAAGAAAAAGAUUGCGACCUCGAUGUUGACUUAUUAAAUCCUCUAGGUGUAGGUGCUUUAAGGGUUAGUCUGUUCGACUAUUAAAAUAAU
rnacentral:rRNA from 1 species